rnacentral:rRNA from 1 species
AUUGAACGCUGGCGGCAUGCCUUACACAUGCAAGUCGAACGGCAGCGGGGGAGAAGCUUGCUUUUCCUGCCGGCGAGUGGCGAACGGGUGAGUAAUACAUCGGAACGUGCCCUGUAGUGGGGGAUAACUAGUCGAAAGAUUAGCUAAUACCGCAUACGACCUGAGGGUGAAAGGGGGGGACCGCAAGGCCUCAUGCUAUAGUCGCGGCCGAUGUCUGAUUAGCUAGUUGGUGGGGUAAAGGCCUACCAAGGCGACGAUCAGUAGCUGGCCUGAGAGGACGAUCAGCCACACUGGGACUGAGACACGGCCCAGACUCCUACGGGAGGCAGCAGUGGGGAAUUUUGGACAAUGGGCGAAAGCCUGAUCCAGCAAUGCCGCGUGUGUGAAGAAGGCCUUCGGGUUGUAAAGCACUUUUGUCCGGAAAGAAAUGGCUCUGGUUAAUACCUGGGGUCGAUGACGGUACCGGAAGAAUAAGGACCGGCUAACUACGUGCCAGCCGCCGCAGUAAAAC